rnacentral:rRNA from 1 species
CCUACGGGUGGCAGCAGUGAGGAAUAUUGGUCAAUGGGCGCGAGCCUGAACCAGCCAAGUCGCGUGAGGGAAGACGGCCCUAUGGGUUGUAAACCUCUUUUGUCGGGGAGCAAAAGACGCCACGCGUGGCGUUCCGAGAGUACCCGAAGAAAAAGCAUCGGCUAACUCCGUGCCAGCAGCCGCGGUAAUACGGAGGAUGCGAGCGUUAUCCGGAUUUAUUGGGUUUAAAGGGUGCGCAGGCGGAAGAUCAAGUCAGCGGUAAAAUUGAGAGGCUCAACCUCGUCGAGCCGUUGAAACUGGUUUGCUUGAGUGAGUGAGAAGUAUGCGGAAUGCGUGGUGUAGCGGUGAAAUGCAUAGAUAUGACGAAGAACUCCGAUUGCGAAGGCAGCAUACCGGCGCUGAACUGACGCUCAUGCACGAAAGUGUGGGUAUCGAACAGGAUUAGAUACCCCUGUAGUC